rnacentral:rRNA from 1 species
CCUACGGGCGGCAGCAGUGAGGAAUAUUGGUCAAUGGGCGGGAGCCUGAACCAGCCAAGCCGCGUGAGGGAAGAAGGUACAGCGUAUCGUAAACCUCUUUUGUCAGGGAACAAAGGCGGGGACUAGUCCCCGGAUGAGGGUACCUGAAGAAAAAGCAUCGGCUAACUCCGUGCCGGCAGCCGCGGUAAUACGGAGGAUGCGAGCGUUAUCCGGAUUUAUGGGGUUUACAGGGUGCGCAGGCGGCCUAUUAAGUCAGCGGUAAAAGCCCGGGGCUCACCCCCGGCGAGCCGUGGAAACUGGCGGGCUGGAGUUGGAGAGAAGUACGCGGAGUGCGCGGUGUAGCGGUGAAAGGCGUAGAUAUUAGGAGGAACACCGGUGGCGAAGGCGGCUUACUGGACUGUAACUGACGUUGAGGCUCGAAGGCGUGGGGAGCAAACAGGAUUAGAUACCCCAGUAGUC